UACGAAGGGGGCUAGCGUUGCUCGGAAUGACUGGGCGUACAGGGCGCGUAGGCGGACAGUACAGUCAGAUGUGAAAUUCCCGGGCUCAACCUGGGAAUUGCAUUUGAGACUGCGUAGCUAGGGUGCGGAAGAGGGAAGCGGAAUUUCCGGUGUAGCGGUGAAAUGCGUAGAUAUCGGAAGGAACACCAGUGGCGAAAGCGGCUUCCUGGUCCAGCACCGACGUUCAGGCACGAAAGCGUGGGGAGCAAACAGG
rnacentral:rRNA from 1 species